UUAUCAUUGGGAGUAUUCCGAGCUCAGAAUUUUCCCAAUGCAAAAAAAAAAGGCUCUGAAGAGCCGGACCUGGGAACCUGGCCAGUUCCCUGAUCCAAUUUUUGGUAAACACCUCAAGGAUGUUAGUUACAUGGUGAAGACGUGGACAGUGUCCUGACUUGACCCUUCUUUGUUUUAAAAAGUAUAAAAGAUUGUUUAGCAGAAGCCGAGCUGAGCUUCGAUGGUGAUUUGGUUUGGACUUGCGAAAACCCGUGCUGCUUUACUGCCGGUGUUGAAGUUUGUGAGCGUCUCUAGUAUGCAUGCAGCUAAAGUGAGGAGGGGCUUGGACUGUUGGUGAGAUGCUGCUAUCACAAUGUCCUUCUGGAUGGGACACUUGAGGCCCCUGAUGGAGCCAGGCUGCAGCUGUCUUUUGCUUUGCAAUCAGAAAAAGGAAGGAUGUGCGAACCACACGUCGCUCUCGGCUCACUUCAAAUCUGGGCAUCUUUUACGGCACAAGAACACUUCCUCCUGGAAUCCCUCAGACACCCACAGCUGCUGCUGAUUGGACCCUGCCCCUGCUAGCUGGCCUGUCUUGGCUACGCCUCACAGCAACAGAAGAAGCCAAGAUCACAACACUGCACUCCAGACUGGGCAACCAAGCGAGAGUCUGUCUCAAAAUAAAGUAAAGCUAGAUGUGGUGGCUCACACCUGUAAUCCCAGCACUUUGAGAGCCUGAGGCGGGCAGAUCACAAGGUCAGGAGUUCAAGACUAGCCUGGCCAGCAUGGUGAAACCUCGUCUCUACUAGAAGUACAAUAAAUUAGGCAGUAUUUUACAGGUGGUGCACGUCUGUAAUCCCAGCUACUCGGGAGGCUGAGUCAGGAGAAUCACUUGAACCUGGGAGGCAGAAGUUGCAGUGAGCCAAGAUUGCACUACUGCAUUCCAGCCUGGACGACAGAGCGAGACUCCACCUCAAAAAAAAAAAAAAAAAAAGAAGUAC